UACGGGGGGGGGCAAGCGUUGUUCGGAAUUACUGGGCGUAAAGGGCUCGUAGGCGGCCAACUAAGUCGGAUGUGAAAUCCCCCAGGCUCAAACUUGGGGAACUGCAUCCGAUACUGGAUGGCUUGAAUUCGGGAGAGGGAUGCAGAAUUCCAGGUGUAGCGGUGAAAAUGCGUCAGAUAUCUGAGGGAACGAACCGAUGCCGGAGGGCGGAAGCU
rnacentral:rRNA from 1 species